CCUACGGGUGGCAGCAGUGGGGAAUAUUGGGCAAUGGGCGCAAGCCUGACCCAGCAACGCCGCGUGAAGGAAGAAGGCUUUCGGGUUGUAAACUUCUUUUGUCAGGGAAGAGUAGAAGACGGUACCUGACGAAUAAGCCACGGCUAACUACGUGCCAGCAGCCGCGGUAAUACGUAGGUGGCAAGCGUUGUCCGGAUUUACUGGGGUUAAAGGGCGUGUAGCCGGGUUGACAAGUCAGAUGUGAAAUCCUGGGGCUUAACCGCAGAACUGCAUGUGAAACUGUUGAUCUUGAGUGCUGGAGAGGCAGACGGAAUGCCUAGUGUAGCGGUGAAAUGCGUAGAUAUUAGGAAGAACACCAGUGGCGAAGGCGGUCGGCUGGACAGCAACUGACGGUGAGGCGCGAAAGCGUGGGGAGCAAACAGGAUUAGAUACCCCAGUAGUC
rnacentral:rRNA from 1 species